rnacentral:rRNA from 1 species
UACGUAGGGGGCUAGCGUUGUCCGGAAUCAUUGGGCGUAAAGCGCGCGUAGGCGGCCCGGUAAGUCCGCUCUGAAAGUCCAGGGCUCAACCCUGGAAAGCGGGUGGAUACUGCCGGACUAGAGUUCGGAAGAGGCGAGUGGAAUUCCCGGUGUAGCGGUGAAAUGCGCAGAUAUCGAGAGGAACACCUGCGGCGAAGGCGGGUUGCUGGGCUGACACUGACGCUGAGGCGCGAAAGCUAGGGGAGCGAACGGG